ACGCUGUGGGCUGGGCGUCGCUCGCUCACUUCCUGCACAAGGGAACUGCUUUCUGAACAGUGUUCUUCUUGCUGAUGUCGGCCUUAACUGUCUGGAUAAUCUCAGAUCGUGAGCAACAAGAGCAGGCUGUGGAACACCGGCAGAAGCCUCUAAUUAAGCUUCCUACACUUGAAGGUUAUGUUGCCUGCAUGUGUGUCUGUAUACCACAUGUAUGCAAUGCCUGUGGGGGCCAGAAGAGACCCUGGAUGCCCGGAAACUGGAGUUACAGAUGGUUGUGAACCCCGUGUCGGUUGUGAACACCCCGUGUGGGUUCUGGGAACCUGGGUCCUCAUCACGAGCAAUGGAAAAGCAAUAUGAACCAUUCCGCCUACCUGGCCCGGGUGGAAAAGGAAUCCACGGUGCGGAGAUAAUUAAACAGAAGUGCAAAGGGGAAAGC